rnacentral:lncRNA from 1 species
UACUUCUUAAGCACAAUGUGAAGUACAUUAUCUAUAAUUUCUCAGACUUUAUUUUAUCUUGAAGCUAAAAUCUCUCGUAUUCGUUCUUGUAGUGACAAAAUGAUUAAAAAAAGAAAAAGAGCCGUCUAUUUAAUUUUUUCUAUAAAUUCUUGUAGUUCUACAGGAGGUUUUGCUUAAAGUUCUUGGAUACCUGUUAUUUAGCAAUGGCCUGGUUCUUAAGAAACAAUACUAAUGUUUCUUUCACUCCAAUAUGUAAAGGCGGGAUAAUUUAAUUAGUAUUUCUACGUUGUAGGGGCAAGGAUGUGAGCCAGGAGAAUUUGAACCAAGGUUAUACCUAUAUCUUCGAGUCGACCUUUGACAGCACAGAAGAUAUUGCAGAAUAUGUAGCUCAUCCUGCUCAUGUCGAAUAUGCAAAUAAAUUACUCCCUAAAUUGGAGAAAGUGAUCAUCGUCGAUUACAAACCUGUUGCUGUUCAUCCCUGAGCUGAAUGCAGAACAGAAAUCAAUUAUCUUUCCACUCCUGUUCUUGUAUUUUCAUUUAUGUGUGAACCAGACUGUUUGCCUCAGCAACUUAAUAAGCUGCAGCUGGAUUAAAUAAUGCACUUUGUGGCUCAUUUGCUUUACCCCAUCUACUAUGCAGAUUAUGUUUUUAUUUUACUCAUGAAUCUUGAUCUCUUAAAAUUUCUUACAAAGUAUAUAUAUUUCUAGUUAUUUGAAUGGUCUUAAAAACAAUUAUGCUAAGCUGGCCGGAUAAGAAUUAACAGUUGUUGCUAGGUCAGGUGACCAGUGACAUAUAUAUAUUACUUUUCUGUUAUUAAAAGGUGCGAGUUACCGAUAACUUCUAGAGUGAGUCCUGAUCAGAUGGUAUCACUCUCACUUUGCUCGAAUCGAGUUAAAUUUGAUGAACAUCAACUUACUGCCAUACUUGGACAUUCGAAUGUGAACAAAGCCUUAAAAAAUCAUUUAACAUGAAAACGGAAAUUGAAAAAUUUCUGAAUAAUCUUUCAAAUAUAUUUUAACGAUUUAUAGAUUACACUCCGAUUUGACUAAAAAUUCCUGAUUUAUCAUCUGAUAAAUCUUAAAUCCUAAAUUAUUAAAUUAACCAAUUAAUUUUGAUUUCUACGAUCAUAGAAAAACCCUGUUUUACUUGAUGAUCGAAGACUGCUUCACAUAAAUUAAGGAUAAAAAGAGAGGGAAUAAAAAAAGUUAAAACCAAUUUCCGAUACAACUUUCUAAAACCAGGAACACGCAGAUAUUAUUAUUUCUCUCAAGUUUAUUAGCAGCAGGGUCAUACAAAAUCGUGUUAUUUCAUGGAUGGAACACCCAUUUCCCUAAAAUAUAUGGGUUCACCCAUAUAUUUGAGUCGACCUUUGACAGCACAGAAGGCAUUGCAGCAUAUGUUGCUCAUUCUGACCACGUUGCGCACUACAAGAAUUUCCAGUACUGCCAACAGAAAUUACCAACAAAAACUAAUCCGUUGACUGUUACUAACGAAUUACCAACGGAAUCCAAAUGUUUGAAAAGUCAACAUGAUAGUGACUAAAGCCCGCGAAAUAGACGGGAAAAGUGCCCGCCAAAACUUACCAACGGAAAUGCUAAAGGAUUUUCUAUCGGAACGUGACCUACAAAAUAGUAAUGGAAUAGCAACCGAUUAGUAACGAAUUACCAACGACCUAGUAAUGGUUACAACAAAUUUUAAAAACGCGCAUUUGCAAAUAAUUUUUUCCUAAAUUGGAGAAAGUAAUCAUUGUGGAUUACAAACCAACUGCUGUUUUUCUUUGAGCGUGCUGAAUUCAUACACAAGCAUGAAAGCACAACAGCUGCAGUAUGAGUGUAUGGCACUCACCAUGUGUUACCACAUCUGUACAUCUGCAUUCCUUCCUUAUUUGGCAAACAAAAACUGUCUCAAUGCACCCUAAAGAAUAACCAACAAGGUCGGCCCACUUGUAGGGUUGCAGUCCUGGUCCAGGGAGCCUGGCAAAGAAUUAGAUUACCUGGAAUUCGAUAUUUGUUGGAAGCCGUUCUAUCCAUUCACGAUGACUAUUUUUUCGCGCUUAAUAAAUGCAAAAAGUAUGUUACAACAUAUGUUGAUAUAUAACGCUAAAUUAUAUAAGAGCAAUGCUAGGGACGCCAAAAUUUGUCCCCAAAUUAUUUUCCCAAAUGACGUGGCAAACACAUGGCGGAAUUUGGUUGGGUGGUUUAUGUGCAUACAGGGGAUCCCAUUAUUUAUUAGUAUGAGUAUAACCAAUCACAACUUGCCACAUAGAUUUGGGAAAAAAUUUUGGGAACAAAAUUUGGGGAACUUAGCAUUUUCCAUUAUAUAAUGUAAUUUAGUCUUCAGAGAAUUUUCUCUCUCUCAUUACAUACAAAGUUCAAAAAAAAUUGGAGACAUAUUAGAGAUUUUCGUGAAGCCCAAAAAUGAGAUUUCGAGUGAAGAGGAACGUUAGAAUACAAUAUGACCAGGGUAAACCCUCCUCCUAACAUCUGAGGUUUUAGAGCAUCUUCAAGAGACUCUUAAAUGAGCUCCUAAAUUGAAAUUUGAGGAGGGAGAAAGAAAUUUUUGCUCCAAGAAACUCUUGGUAGCUCUUCAUAUCACUAAUAGCAUCUUGUUUCUCUCUCCUCUCUCCUCAAAGUUAAGAGCCACUACAAAGCUCUUAACUUAUUUUUUACAAUAAAAUAUCCAUUACCUCCGAUUACAUUUGAGUUUGUGUCAUAACAAGUCAAAAAAAAUAAAAUAUUAACGUAAGAGCAAGUAUAAAGAAUAUUGUUGGAGUUAAGACUCUUAGAUUUGUAUUAACUUACUGGGAGUCUAAUAUUUUAUAUUAUAUUUAAGAGUGGGUUAGGAGACUAUCGGAGAUGCUCUUAGAAGAACCGGUCACUUAACAUACAAAAAGAAUAUAAAAGAAUGACAUGGGAGGUUUUCAGGUAUAAAUAAGAGAGGGUGGUUUCAUCAGAUAACAAGCAAGUCCAAAGGAAGAUGGAAAACCAAAGUACAGAGGAGAAAAAGGGUGGGAAAUGUGGAGGAGAUUAUAAACACUUGGUGCUAGGAAAGUUUACACAAGAAACAACUCAACAAGAGAUAGAUGAUCUCAUCAAGGGUUAUGCCAAUCUCGUCUCUCUCGUCCCUCCCAUGAUAUCAUUUCGCUGGUACAUUACUCAUCAUCUCUUCUUACUUCUUAAGCACAAUGUGAAGUACAUUAUCUAUAAUUUCUCAGACUUUAUUUUAUCUUGAAGCUAAAAUCUCUCGUAUUCGUUCUUGUAGUGACAAAAUGAUUAAAAAAAGAAAAAGAGCCGUCUAUUUAAUUUUUUCUAUAAAUUCUUGUAGUUCUACAGGAGGUUUUGCUUAAAGUUCUUGGAUACCUGUUAUUUAGCAAUGGCCUGGUUCUUAAGAAACAAUACUAAUGUUUCUUUCACUCCAAUAUGUAAAGGCGGGAUAAUUUAAUUAGUAUUUCUACGUUGUAGGGGCAAGGAUGUGAGCCAGGAGAAUUUGAACCAAGGUUAUACCUAUAUCUUCGAGUCGACCUUUGACAGCACAGAAGAUAUUGCAGAAUAUGUAGCUCAUCCUGCUCAUGUCGAAUAUGCAAAUAAAUUACUCCCUAAAUUGGAGAAAGUGAUCAUCGUCGAUUACAAACCUGUUGCUGUUCAUCCCUGAGCUGAAUGCAGAACAGAAAUCAAUUAUCUUUCCACUCCUGUUCUUGUAUUUUCAUUUAUGUGUGAACCAGACUGUUUGCCUCAGCAACUUAAUAAGCUGCAGCUGGAUUAAAUAAUGCACUUUGUGGCUCAUUUGCUUUACCCCAUCUACUAUGCAGAUUAUGUUUUUAUUUUACUCAUGAAUCUUGAUCUCUUAAAAUUUCUUACAAAGUAUAUAUAUUUCUAGUUAUUUGAAUGGUCUUAAAAACAAUUAUGCUAAGCUGGCCGGAUAAGAAUUAACAGUUGUUGCUAGGUCAGGUGACCAGUGACAUAUAUAUAUUACUUUUCUGUUAUUAAAAGGUGCGAGUUACCGAUAACUUCCAGAGUGAGUCCUGAUCAGAUAGUAUCACUCUCACUUUGCUCGAAUCGAGUCAAAUUUGAUGAACAUCAACUUACUGCCAUACUUGGACAUUCGAAUGUGAACAAAGCCUUAAAAAAUCAUUUAACAUGAAAACAGAAAUCAAAAAAUCUCUGAUUAAUCUUUCAAAUAUUAUUUUAACGAUUUAUAGAUUACACUCCGAUUUGACAAAAAAUUCCCGAUUUAUCAAAAAAAAAACUCUGAUAAAUCUUAAAUCCUAAAUUAUCAAAUUAACCAAUUAAUUCCGAUUUCUACGAUCAUAGAAAAACCCUGUUUUACUUGAUGAUCGAAGACUGCUUCACAUAAAUUAAGGAUAAAAAGAGAGGGAAUAAAAAAAGUUAAAACCAAUUUCCGAUACAACUUUCUAAAACCAGGAACACGCAGAUAUUAUUAUUUCUCUCAAGUUUAUUAGCAGCAGGGUCAUACAAAAUGGUGUUAUUUCAUGGAUGGAACACCCAUUUUCCUAAAAUAUAUGGGUUCACCCAUAUAUUUGAGUCGACCUUCGACAGCACAGAAGGCAUUGCAGCAUAUGUUGCUCAUUCUGACCACGUUGCGCACUACAAGAAUUUCCAGUACUACCGACAUAAAUUACCAACAAAAACUAAUCCGUUGACUGUUACUAACGAAUUACCAAUGGAAUGGAAUAUUUUGUUGGCGAAAUAGGCGGGAAAAGUGCCCGCCAAAACUUACCAACGGAAAUGCUAAAGGAUUUUCUAUCGGAACGUGACCAACAAAAUAGUAAUGGAAUAGCAACCGAUUAGUAACGAAUUACCAAGUACCAACGACCUAGUAAUGGUUACAACAAAUUUUAAAAACGCGCGUUUGCAAAUAAUUUUUUCCUAAAUUGGAGAAAGUAAUCACUGUGGAUUACAAACCAACUGCUGUUUUUCUUUGAGCGUGCUGAAUUCAUACACAAGCAUGAAAGCACAACAGCUGCAGUGAGUGUAUGGCACUCACCAUGUGUUACCACAUCUGUACAUCUGCGAUUCCUUACUUAUUUGGCAAACAAAAACUGUCUCAAUGCACGGCAUCUCCAAUAGGGGGCUAACUAAAGUUGCUUAAAAUAACAAAUCUUUAAAAAUAUUACUAUUUUAUUUUCUCUCUCUUUGGGCAACUUUUACAUAAAAAUUUGCUCCAAUGGUUGGCACCCAAAGUUGCCACAUAUUUGUACAAGUAUAAUUAUAACAAGAUAUGAAACUAAAUGACUUUAGGGUGAUUUAUACACUUUUUUCUAUUUUAGGAGGGUACCAAAAGCUGGCAACUUUGCUUGGCACUCCUUCCACUCCAAUGGAGAGCCAACAAGAGUGCCAUGCCACAUCAUGACACAUGGCACUUUAGCACUCUUUUUGACACCCUCAUUGGAGUUGCUCAUAACCAACAAGGUCAGCCCACUUGUAGGGUUGCAGUCCUGGUCCAGGGAGCCUGGCAAAGAAUUAGAUUGCCUGGAAUUCGAUAUUUGUUGGAAGCCGUUCUAUCCAUUCACGAUGACUAUUUUUUCGCGCUUAAUAAAUGCAAAAAGUAUGUUACAACAUAUGUUGAUAUAUAACGCUAAAUUAUAUAAUGUAAUUUAGUCUUCAGAGAAUUUUCUCUCUCUCAUUACAUACAAAGUUCAAAAAAAAUUGGAGACAUAUAUUAGAGAUUUUCAUGAAGCCCAAAAAUGAGAUUGAGUGAGGAGGAACAUUAGAAUACAAUAUGACUGGGGUAAACCCUCCUCCUAACAUCUGAGGUUUUGGAGAACCGGUCACUUAACAUACAAAACGAAUAUAAAAGAAUGACAUGGGAGGUUUUCAGGUAUAAAUAAGAGAGGGUGGUUUCAUCAGAUAACAAGCAAGUCCAAAGGAAGAUGGAAAACCAAAGUACAGAGGAGAAAAAGGGUGGGAAAUGUGGAGGAGAUUAUAAACACUUGGUGCUAGGAAAGUUUACACAAGAAACAACUCAACAAGAGAUAGAUGAUCUCAUCAAGGGUUUUGCCAAUCUCGUCUCUCUCGUCCCUCCCAUGAUAUCAUUUCGCUGGUACAUUAUUACACACCAUCUCUUCUUAGUUCUUUCCCUUCAUUUUACUGUUUUUUAUGACCACCGCGAUUAUAUUAAGCACAAUGUGAAGUACAUUAUCUAUAAUUUCUCAGAGUUUAUUUUAUCUUGAAGCUGAAAUCUCUCGUAUUCGUUCUUGUAGUUACCAAAUGAUAAAAAAAAAAAAAAAAUCUAUAAAUUCUUGUAGUUCUACAGGAGGUUCUGCUGAAAGUUCUUGGAUACCUAUUAUUUAGCAAUGGCCUGGUUUUUAAGAAACAAUUCUAAUGUUUCUUUCGCUCCAAUAUGUAAAGGCGAGAUAAUUUAAUUAGUAUUUCUACAUUGUAGGGGCAAGGAUGUGAGCCAGGAGAAUUUGAACCAAGGUUAUACCCAUAUUUUCGAGUCGACCUUUGACAGCACAGAAGAUAUUGCAGAAUAUCUGGCUCAUCCUGCUCAUGUCGAAUAUGCAAAUAAAUUACUCCCUAAAUUGGAGAAAGUCCUCGUCGUCGAUUACAAACCCGUUGCUGUUCAUCCCUCAGCUGAAUGCAGGACAGAAAUUGAUUAUUAUUUCACUCCUGUUCUUGUAUUUUCAUUUAUGUGUGAACCAGACUGUUUGCCUCAGCAACUUAAUAAGCUGCAGCUGGAUUGAAUAAUGCACUUUGUGGCUCACUUGCUUUACCCCAUCUACUAUGCAGAUUAUGUUUUUAUUUUACUCA